UCCGGUUUGUCACCGGCAGUAUCCCAUGAGUCCCCGACAUAACCCGCUGGCAACAUCGAACGAGGGUUGCGCUCGUUGCGGGACUUAACCCAACAUCUCACGACACGAGCUGACGACAGCCAUGCACCACCUGUCACCCGCCCCAAAGGACCCCGCGUCUCCGCGAGUUUUCAGGCGAUGUCAAACCCAGGUAAGGUUCUUCGCGUUGCAUCGAAUUAAUCCGCAUGCUCCGCCGCUUGUGCGGGCCCCCGUCAAUUCCUUCGAGUUUUAGCCUUGCGGCCGUACUCCCCAGGCGGGGCGCUUAAUGCGUUAGCUGCGGCACAGAGAGCCGGAGAGGCCCCCCACACCUAGCGCCCAACGUUUACAGCGUGGACUAC
rnacentral:misc_RNA from 1 species